rnacentral:misc_RNA from 1 species
ACACAUGAUUCCAACAAAAUCAUCAAAACAUAAUUGAAGAAUGAGCACUCAAAGCCUUUUGAGCCUUGAUUCGCAGUCGUUUAACGCCGGAUAAACAAGUGGUUGGUGCCAUCUUUUGACCAAACGGAAUCCGAUGGAAUUAAGAAAACCUUCACUCGAAUAGAAGAACAACAAUGAAUGAGUUGCUGUGGACCUGCAAUGUAAGUGUUGAGGGGACUGAUGUGAGUCACCACUGUCACUACCGCUAGGGAAGGGCCGAUCAAAUUGAAGCAAACAGUGGCAAACAAUAGAGAAAAAGGAAGGGCCAGUGACGUCAAACUUUGGAAAAGGAGGAGAAGGAGGCUAAGUUAGGUUGGCAAUAGCUAGCGAGUCAUGACAGGAGGCCAGGGAUGGCAAGUCUCGAGUUAUGACUCAAGUGAGGAGAGGCAGAGUGACUUGCCUUUGAUAGUUUGUGAGUAGGUUAAAUUUUUUUUUAUUAAUUAUUUGGCAUUUCCCAUUGAUAUGCUGCAGCG